ensembl:lncRNA
UUAUAUGAUAUUUAAGCAACUUUUAUUUUACACACAUUGCAUUGACACACUGAUGUUUGCAGCCACAGAUAUUCUCCUUUACAUCCACCCAGUCAUGCACAAAGCAGGUAAUACAGGUGUAAACAGCCAUCUGUGACUGAAGGGAUGAUGAAAGCGGGUUUAAAGGGGUUUAUCCUGAAAGCAUCUGGUCCUGCUGCAGGUGAGAGAAACCUGACGUUCCCUGUGUGUGUAAACUCUCAUUCUCUUCUUUCUCUUCUUUGUUUCUUCUGGCAUUUAGUUGCUGUUGUUAUUCACCUGUGAGACGCUCAUGGCCCGCAGAUGACAGGAAGGCCUUACGACUGGAAUGUCGUCUCCUCCAGAGAGGAAAUUAAUUUCUUCUGAUUUUUCGAAAGCGAUGGCCACCGCUUGGUUUGCAGGCCGAGGGUUAGACGGCUGCGACUGAAUCUGGGCUUGGAGAGCUGGAGCUGAAGCUUUCAUUAAGAGUGAUUCUGUAGAGGAGCUGGCGAGAGAAGAAGCCUUUGAAUGCGUCUGCAUCCGUAGCGCUGUGGAGAAAUAUCUUUUUAUCAUCUCUGCGUCUCUAGAGAUAAUCGACUCGUCUCUGAGUGGGUUGAAAAAGUUUUUCCGUCCAGCAGAUUAGCGCCGCAGUUUAAGCUCACAUUCACACAGACUGCCAAACACAUCCGAGAGAGUUUCAGCAAACACAGGAAAUGCCAUCAGAGUCUGUUUGACUCUCUCUCUGGAAAUAAUAAAGAAGGGUGAGCAUCCUUCUAACAAUAGCCGGCGGGCUACGAGUCUGCUAUUAAGAGAGAAACAUCUCUGCAUCUUCUUAAAGCAAACUGACAAAUAUUUAUGCAUCAAAUCCAAACAGUCACUGAGUAAGUUUCAAAAGGUUGUCAGGAUAAUUAAGAUGCACCUCAUUUUGGUUUCAUGCAUCCUUCACAGAGAAGGCAAUUCCAGAAUGCAUUGCAUGAAGAUAAAUAUAUUUAUAUAUCAAACUUUACAUAUACAAGUAAAUAUAUAUGUGUGUCUGUGUGU